UACGUAGGGUGCGAGCGUUGUCCGGAAUUAUUGGGCGUAAAGAGCUCGUAGGCGGCUUGUCGCGUCGGAUGUGAAAGCCCGGGGCUUAACUCCGGGUCUGCAUUCGAUACGGGCAGGCUAGAGUUCGGUAGGGGAGAUCGGAAUUCCUGGUGUAGCGGUGAAAUGCGCAGAUAUCAGGAGGAACACCGGUGGCGAAGGCGGAGCUCUGGGCCGAUACUGACGCUGAGGAGCGAAAGCGUGGGGAGCGAACAGG
rnacentral:rRNA from 1 species